GAGAGAGAGAUAAAUGGUGAAGGCGUCUGAGUUUUCUGAAGGCCAAGAUGAAGAGGAAGAUGAGGCUAGAACUGGAGAGUCUGAUCCAGGCUUCAAAAUCGCGUCGAUGAUUUACCAGAGAAUUAUAUAUAUGUAUCCAAUGCUACACAAAUUGGAAGCUAACAAUGGUAGUGGGAUCAUGAAGCCUCUAAACAUAUCCAAAUCUUCAAUCUGCUCAAUUAACGGAAACCCUGCUGAUUUUAACAUGCCGGAAGUAGGAAACCGGUACAUGAUUAGAGGUGAAGACCUAAAAUUUGGGAAGCGGAUUCCUUUUUCAAGAAGGCGUGGCUUAGUUAAAGUGGAUCAGCACAAGUGGCAGAGAAAUAUGAAAGCCCUCUACCAAAAAGGAAACGUAUACCAAAAAGAAAACGUAACAGAAACCCUCCUCAUUGAAUUUGAGGAGGGAAAAUUUUUCCAAGAAAAGGCACGUGAAGUAGAUGAAGAGUCAAAUGAAAUGAUUCUUAGAACAAGGUUAUUAGCAUCCUUUUCGUUGAAAUUUUUAUGAAAUGUUGAGACACAAGGAGAAAUAGUGCUCAACUUGCAUGGAAAAUGUUUUCAAGAAAAGACAAGUGAAGUAGAUAAGGAGUCAAAUGAAAUGAUUCUUAGAACGAGGUUAGCAUCCUUUUCGUUGAAGUUUUGUGUCGUGUGUUUCUACUCUUUGUGGACAUUGAUUAAUGGUGGUGUAUAGAGUUCCACAAUGUUAAUUAAUUUUUUUCUUUUAUUGUGUUCCUCGUUAGAAAUGUUGAGACACAAGGAGAAAUAGUGCUUGACUAUUGCAUGGACAUUUUUUUUUUCUAAGAAAAGGCAUGUGAAGCAGAUAAGGAUUCGAAUGAAAUGACUCUUAAGACGAGGUGGAAUAGAUACCAGUGCAACUACAAUGACAUGGGCGAUGGCAGAAUUAGCUAGGAAACAAAAACUGAUGAAGACAGCCCAAGAAGGUAGAAGAUGCAUUGGAAACACAAAGGAAAAAUCAGUGAACAAGAUACAGAUGAGCUUCAAUACGUCAAGAUGAUAAUCAAAGAGACUCGAUUGCAUACUCUAGCUCCAAUGAUUAUUCCAAGAGAAACCAUGUCUCAUUUCAAAAUCCAAGAUUCUGAUAUUGACCCCAAAACACUUGUCUUUGUCAAUGGCUGGGCAAUUUGCACGAGACCUUGAGUCUUGGAAGGACUCAGAAAAAUUUAUCCCAGAAAGGUUUGAUGGCAGCUCCAUUGAUUAUAAAGGACAGAAUUUUGAGUUUUUACUAUUUGGAGCUGGUCGAAGAAUUUGUCCUGGGAUGUACAUGGGAAUAACAACACUACAGCCUGGACUUGCAAAUCUUCUCUACUGGUUUGAUUGGAAAUUGCUUAAUGGGAUGAAGGAGGAAGAUAUCGAUAUGGAAGAAAAUAAGGUGUAUCAUGGGUAUUUUUGGUAGUUAAAUAUGACGUAUUUAGUUAAUUUUAUAUUUGAUCUACAUAUUAGGGUAUACUUAGAUCAUAAGGUAUACUCAAUUAAUUUUAGGAUUCGUUUAACACCAUCUUAAUUUUUUAAAUUUUUUUUAUUGUGUUCCUCCAUAAAUUUUAAGACACAAGGAGAAAUAGUGUUUGACUUGCUUGGACACGGUGCCAAG